ACCUCCUCAAUGCACUGAAGUGUGAAGGGGUUACCUCGAGUGCCGUCUGAAGAAGGCGGCUUUUCCUUGGUCUAAAAAGCCUUGGGAAUAAGAGGGGGGCAAGACUGGUGUCAGCCGCCGCGGUAACACCAGCCCCUCGAGUGGUGGGGAUGAUUAUUUGGCCUAAAGCGUCCGUAGCCGGCCGAGUAAGUUUCCCGUCAAAUCCAGCGUCUUAAGCGUUGGGCUGCGGGAAAUACUGCCCGGCUAGAGAGUGGGAGAGGUAAGCGGUAUUCUGGGGGUAGGGGCGAAAUCCUUUGAUCCCCGGAGGACCACCAGUGGCGAAGGCUGCUUACUAGAACACGUCUGACGGUCAGGGACGAAAGCUGGGGUAGCGAACCGGAUUAGAUACCCGGGUAGUCCCAGCUGUAAACGAUGCACGCUAGGUGUUGGGUCGGCCACGCGCCGCCCCAGUGCCGCAGGGAAGCCGUUAAGCGUGCCGCCUGGGGAGUACGGCCGCAAGGCUGAAACUUAA
rnacentral:rRNA from 1 species